CCUACGGGAGGCAGCAGUGAGGAAUAUUGGUCAAUGGACGAGAGUCUGAACCAGCCAAGUAGCGUGAAGGAUGACUGCCCUAUGGGUUGUAAACUUCUUUUAUAAAGGAAUAAAACGAGGCACGUGUGCCUUUUUGCAUGUACUUUAUGAAUAAGGAUCGGCUAACUCCGUGCCAGCAGCCGCGGUAAUACGGAGGAUCCGAGCGUUAUCCGGAUUUAUUGGGUUUAAAGGGAGCGUAGAUGGGUUGUUAAGUCAGUUGUGAAAGUUUUCGGCUCAACCGUAAAAUUGCAAUUGAUACUGGUAGUCUUGAGUACAGUUGAGGUAGGCGGAAUUCGUGGUGUAGCGGUGAAAUGCUUAGAUAUCACGAAGAACCCCGAUUGCGAAGGCAGCUUACUAAACUGUGACUGACAUUGAUGCUCGAAAGUGUAGGUAUCAAACAGGAUUAGAUACCCUUGUAGUC
rnacentral:rRNA from 1 species